GACGAACGCUGGCGGCGUGCUUAACACAUGCAAGUCGAACGGAAAGGCCCUGCUUUUGCUGGGUGCUCGAGUGGCGAGCGGGUGAGUAACACGUGAGUAACCUGCCCUUUACUUUGGGAUAACUUCAGGAAACUGGGGCUAAUACCCGAUAGGAGCUCCUUCUGCAUUGUGGUUGUUGUAAAUAUUCGGCGGUUGGGGAAGGACCUGCGGGUUAGCAGCUUGUUGGUGGGGUAGUGUAUUACCAAGGCUCUGACGGGAAGCGGGACUGAGAGGGUGACGGGCCACAUUGGGACUGAGAUACGGCCCAGACGCCUCCGGGAGGCAGCAGUGGAGAAUAUUGCACACUGGGCGGGGGCCUGCUGCAGCAACGCCGCGUGCGAAAUGACGGCCUUCGGGUUAUAACCCGCUUUUGCCUGGAACGAAGAGUGAGUGACGGUAACGAGUAAAGAAGGAACGGCUAACUACGUG
rnacentral:rRNA from 1 species